AUUGAACGCUGGCGGCAGGCCUAACACAUGCAAGUCGAACGGUAACAGGAAGAAGCUUGCUUCUUUGCUGACGAGUGGCGGACGGGUGAGUAAUGUCUGGGAAACUGCCUGAUGGAGGGGGAUAACUACUGGAAACGGUAGCUAAUACCGCAUAACGUCGCAAGACCAAAGAGGGGGACCUUCGGGCCUCUUGCCAUCGGAUGUGCCCAGAUGGGAUUAGCUAGUAGGUGGGGUAACGGCUCACCUAGGCGACGAUCCCUAGCUGGUCUGAGAGGAUGACCAGCCACACUGGAACUGAGACACGGUCCAGACUCCUACGGGAGGCAGCAGUGGGGAAUAUUGCACAAUGGGCGCAAGCCUGAUGCAGCCAUGCCGCGUGUAUGAAGAAGGCCUUCGGGUUGUAAGGUACUUUCAGCGGGGAGGAAGGGAGUAAAGUUAAUACCUUUGCUCAUUGACGUUACCCGCAGAAGAAGCACCGGCUAACUCCGUG
rnacentral:rRNA from 1 species